rnacentral:rRNA from 1 species
GACGAACGCUGGCGGCGUGCUUAACACAUGCAAGUCGAACGAGAGGACAAGAGAAGCUUGCUUCUUUUGGAAUCGAGUGGCAAACGGGUGAGUAACACGUAAACAACCUGCCUUCAGGAUGGGGACAACAGACGGAAACGACUGCUAAUACCGAAUACGCUUGGGAGACCGCAUGAUCUACCAAGGAAAGGGUGGCCUCUACCUGUAAGCUAUCGCCUGAAGAGGGGUUUGCGUCUGAUUAGGCAGUUGGUGAGGUAACAGCCCACCAAGGCGACGAUCGGUAGCCGGACUGAGAGGUUGAACGGCCACAUUGGGACUGAGACACGGCCCAGACUCCUACGGGAGGCAGCAGUGGGGAAUAUUGCACAAUGGGGGGAAACCCUGAUGCAGCGACGCCGCGUGGAGGAAGAAGGUUUUCGGAUUGUAAACUCCUGUCGUUAGGGACGAUAAUGACGGUACCUAACAAGAAAGCACCGGCUAACUACGUG